rnacentral:rRNA from 1 species
AACUAACGCUGGCGGCGUGCCUAACACAUGCAAGUCGUACGAGAAAGUUGGCUUCGGCCGAUGAGUAAAGUGGCGCACGGGUGAGUAAUGCGUGGAUAAUCUGCCCUUUAGUUGGGAAUAACGUACCGAAAGGUGCGCUAAUACCUGAUAAUACUGCAUAACUACUGUUGUGUAGUCAAAGAAGGCCUCUGUUUACAAGCUUUUGCUGAAGGAUGAGUCCGCGUACCAUUAGCUGGUUGGUGGGGUAAUGGCCUACCAAGGCUACGAUGGUUAGCUGGUCUGAGAGGAUGAUCAGCCACACUGGAACUGAGACACGGUCCAGACUCCUACGGGAGGCAGCAGUGGGGAAUAUUGCACAAUGGGGGAAACCCUGAUGCAGCGACGCGCGUGGAGGAUGACACAUUUCGGUGCGUAAACUCCUUUUAUAUAGGAAGAUAAUGACGGUACUAUAUGAAUAAGCACCGGUAACUCCGUGCCAGCAGCCGAC